rnacentral:lncRNA from 1 species
CCCGCAUGUUUUCCGCCAAUAAAGUGGCAGCAUCAUGAAAUGAAGAAGAAAUAUGAUCACUUGCAUCAGAAUUCUUUUUUUUUCUUCUUUGAAGAUGUGGAACCCCCUUGGUUUCUAUCUGGUUGCGGUUCCGUAGUAGAAACAUCCAUGUCAUCCAAAGAGACAUCAGCUUCGCAGUCAUAGAAUUCGUUUAUUUCUUCAUUAAUAUCUGUAGUAGGUAUAUCCUGAACAUUUAUUUCUUCAAUAACAUCAGCGGCUGUUUGAGCAUCUUUUCCAGUCGCUCGAUAUCUUGUGUAAAUGGUAGUAAAUUGGUCAUAGUAAGGGAAACUACGAUGUCUAUAUUGACCGACUUCUUUAUGACUCUAUAAAAAUGAGGAAAUCAUAUUAGUUAUAAGUUUGGUAAAAAUAAGAUAAUAAAGACUUGAAAUAAUUCUUACAUUUAAAUAAGAGUUCCAAACCGCAUCUUCAGCAACAACGAGCUGCCUAUGCUCAUCCCAACCAAAACCGCUAUUGUUUUGGCCAUUAAGCAUGUCAUACACGAUUGACCAAUCCCUUUUUAGUAACCUAAUCCUCGAUUCAAUAUUAGGUCUAGCCUUCAACAUUGCAUUGGGCAAAGCCUUUUCUAACAUUUUUUCCAACUCAUUUAAAUAACCGGCUUUGAACCCCGUAUCAGCAUUAAAGGUUCCAACAUUGUGCAAGUCCACCAUACAGGAAACUAAUGCUGCAUCUUCUUCUGGAACCCAUUUCCUUUU